GAUGAACGCUAGCUACAGGCUUAACACAUGCAAGUCGAGGGGCAGCAUGAAGUUUGCUUGCAAACUUUGAUGGCGACCGGCGCACGGGUGAGUAACGCGUAUCCAACCUUCCCCUUACUAGGGAAUAGCCUUGCGAAAGUAAGAUUAAUGCCCGAUGGUCUCAGAAUAUGACAUCAUGCUUUGAGUAAAGAUUCAUCGGUAUGGGAUGGCGAUGCGUCCGAUUAGAUAGUUGGCGGGGUAACGGCCCACCAAGUCAUCGAUCAGUAGGGGUUCUGAGAGGAAGGUCCCCCACAUUGGAACUGAGACACGGUCCAAACUCC
rnacentral:rRNA from 1 species